GUGGGGAAUCUUCCGCAAUGGACGAAAGUCUGACGGAGCGACGCCGCGUGAGUGAAGAAGGCCUUCGGGUCGUAAAGCUCUGUCAUCAGGGACGAACGGCCGGUGGAGUGGAAAGCCACCGGAUUGACGGUACCUGAGAAGGAAGCCACGGCUAACUACGUGCCAGCAGCCGCGGUAAUACGUAGGGUGCAAACGUUAUCCGGAUUUAUUGGGCGUAAAGAGCUCGUAGGCGGAAUUGUAAGUUGGAUAUUAAAGACCCAGGCUCAACUUGGGGAAAGUAUCCAAAAUUGCAAAUCUAGAGUGAUGCAGGGGAGAACGGAACUUACGGUGUAGCGGUGGAAUGCGUAGAUAUCGUAAGGAACGCCAAUGGUGAAGACAGUUCUCUGGGCAUUUUCUGACGCUGAGGAGCGAAAGCGUGGGUAGCGAUCGGGAUUAGAAACCCUUGUAGUCC
rnacentral:rRNA from 1 species